rnacentral:rRNA from 1 species
GACGAACGCUGGCGGCGUGCUUAACACAUGCAAGUCGAACGGUAAGGCCCUUCGGGGUACACGAGUGGCGAACGGGUGAGUAACACGUGGGUGAUCUGCCCUGCACUUCGGGAUAAGCCUGGGAAACUGGGUCUAAUACCGGAUAGGACCACUGCCUGCAUGGGUGGUGGUGGAAAGCUUUUGCGGUGUGGGAUGGGCCCGCGGCCUAUCAGCUUGUUGGUGGGGUGAUGGCCUACCAAGGCGACGACGGGUAGCCGGCCUGAGAGGGUGACCGGCCACACUGGGACUGGGAUACGGACCAGACUCGUACGGGAGGAAGCAGUGGGGAAUAUUGCACAAUGGGCGCAAGCCUGAUGCAGCGACGCCGCGUGAGGGAUGACGGCCUUCGGGUUGUAAACCUCUUUCAGCACCGACGAAGCGCAAGUGACGGUAGGUGCAGAAGAAGGACCGGCCAACUACGUGCCAGCCGCCGCCGUAA